UUGUAGCGUAGAAGAAGAGCCGCAGCUUUGCUGAAAGCAACUCUGUUAGCGGCUGUAGGUAACGUGAUGUCCACAACCUCCAAAGUGGUUCUGGGAGUUUCUGUGGUUCUGACUCUGAGCACCGUGGGAGCCGUGCACCUCAAACAGUCCUGGGACAGAGAGCGUCUCCACGAGGGUGUGGUCAGGGAUCUGGAGCGAGUCCAGAGAAAGAAGGAGAAUCUGAGGCUUCUGGAGGAACAGAGGACUCUAACCCGACAACUGGAGGCGGAGAGGCGGAGCAAAGAGUCUGAGCUCCACCCACAGGACCACACCCACCACUAACGCAGGGAACUGAAGCCUCUUCAAACCAAACGUCCAGAUGCUUUGGAACUGAAAAAAAUACAGUGUGUCAGUCACGGAUUGGACAUGGACAGCGGCAGCGAGCAGCUGGGCGGAGCUGAUGACGAGGCGGCGUG